GACGAACGCUGGCGGCGCGCUUAACACAUGCAAGUCGAACGGAAAGGCCUGCUUUCCCUUGUGGAUUGCGGGUACUCGAGUGGCGAACGGGUGAGUAACACGUGAGUGAUCUGCCCCCAACUUGGGUAUAAGCCUGGGAAACUGGGUCUAAUUCCCGAUAGGACUGCAGGGUGGUGCCUGUGGUGGAAAACGAUUUUCUAGUGGUUGGGGAUGAGCUCGCGGCCUAUCAGCUUGUUGGUGGGGUAAUGGCCUACCAAGGCGGCGACGGGUAGCCGGCCUGAGAGGGUGGACGGCCACAUUGGGACUGAGGUACGGCCCAGACUCCUACGGGAGGCAGCAGUGGGGAAUAUUGCACAAUGGGCGGAAGCCUGAUGCAGCGACGCCGCGUGGGGGAUGACGGCCUUCGGGUUGUAAACUCCUUUCGACCGCGAGGAAGCCACCUGGUUGGAAGGGUGGUGACGGUAGUGGUAGAAGAAGCACCGGCUAACUACGUG
rnacentral:rRNA from 1 species